UCGCUGGGAAAACCAAACCCCAACUGGUUGC
rnacentral:piRNA from 1 species